CCCAGCCAGAAAUGGAGAAGUAGCUGAAAGAGGAAGAAGAGUGGCUGGGAGGGGGCGAGGAAUACGUAUGCGUGGUGGAAGAAGAAUAAGAGGAAGAUCAAGAGCUGUAGUCGCAGAUGAGAUCAGAGCUACUGUAAUUGAUCAUGUAGUAAAUCAUGGUCACUCGAUGAGAGAGGCUGGUCAGAGAGUGCAGCCAAAUCUGCAACGCUCUACAGUGGCAUCUAUUGUUAGAGUUUUCCGGCAAACCAACAGGACUCAACGGUUACCUCACACAGGAGGGAGAGGACGGAUGUUCACUGAUGUGCAGGAAACUGCCAUUGUUGAUAUGGUCAUCAGAAACAAUGGGAUAAAACUCACUGAAAUUAGACACAGAGUCUUGGCAGACAACGUUACUUUCGGAAAUAUUCACAGUGUAAGCAUAACAACAAUUUCUAGAGUCCUGAAAAAACAUCAGGUCAAGAUGAAACAGUUGCACACUGUGCCUUUUAGAGGAACUCUGAACAUGUCAAGCAACUCAGGAACCAGUAUGUCCAGAGAGUCAUGGAGAUUGAAGGCAGGCAAACACACCACAUUUUCAUCUUUGUGGAUGAGGCAGGUUUCAAUCUGGCCAAAGCACGGCGACGAGGGAGGAAUGUGAUUGGGAAGAGAGCCACAGUGAAUGUCCCGGGCCAGAGGGGUGCCAACAUCACAAUGUGCGCAGCAAUAUCCACUGAUGGACUGCUGUUACACAGACCACUAAUUGGGCCAUACAACACUGAACGGCUCCUUGCGUUCCUGCAUGAUCUCUAUGGAAGGGUUGUGCUAGGUGAGGAAAGGGAUGCGGAGAGAAGGAAUCAGCCAACAUUUAUAAUUGUAUGGGACAAUGUGGCAUUUCAUCACUCCCGUGCAGUCACUGAGUGGUUUGCAGCCCAUCCCAGAAUGGAGUCUCUUUUCCUCCCACCUUACUCUCCAUUCCUCAACCCCAUAGAGGAAUUCUUUUCCUCAUGGCGGUGGAAGGUUUACGACCAUCAUGAUCAAAUGUCCCUCCUGGAUGCAAUGAAUGCUGGAUGCCUGGAGAUAUCAGCAGGAGAUUGCCAGGGAUGGAUCAGGCAUGCCAGAAGAUUCUUUCCUAGGUGUAUUGCCCUAGAUGACAUAAGAUGUGAUGUGGAUGAGAACCUGUGGCCAAAUGGAGAAGACCGAGUAGAUUAGCAUUACUAUUGUAUGUGUAUCAGUGGAUGGUGUGUAUACAAAUUCUUGUAUUUUGGGAUUACUUAGUGCAAAAAAAUAAGAAUACAUAAACAAAUAUUAACGAAUUCUGCAUGAUGUCUGAUUCAUUCCAGUAACAUAUAUUGAAAUUAUGAACAGAGAUGUGUCCUUGUUUUACACAAGAAAACACUGUAAUGCUACAUGUUGUUAGUGUUUUUUAGGUCAUUGUUUUGUGGGUGACAAAGUGUGUUUGUCGGCUGUCAACCUUUGCUAGUGUUCUGGAAGAAUGAGUUUAUUUGAGACCUGAAUAAAGUGUUUAGGUAGUUCUAGUGCAUUUUGAAUGUGAAAUGAACUGCUUUGCCAAGCUGAGGGUCAGUUAGGAGAAUUGUGUGAAGAGUUUUGCAAAAGUGACCUAAGUAUUGAGAAAUGUGUCCUAGCGGCUGUAAAAAAACUGUAAUGAUGAGCACAAGUUAGAUUAAGCAUUCUGUGGAAAUGUUACUUUAGUGAUGGAAAACUCAACUUCCUCUUAUUGCUGUAAUGAAACUGCAUAUUAUUCUUUUACAGCUACCACAACAUGGUGCCAUUUUAAUCACCUGUCUGUGUGCGUC
ensembl:lncRNA